rnacentral:rRNA from 1 species
AUUGAACGCUGGCGGCAUGCCUAACACAUGCAAGUCGAACGGUAGCAGGUCGUCGGCUGCUGAAUUGUGGCGCACGGGUGUGUGUUAUGCCGAAGAAUGCGCGAUGGAGGGGGGUAAAACGUCGGGAGACUGGCUAUUAUACCACACGCGCCCCGUGGGAGAACGUGGGGGAUUCGGGGAUCGCACGCUCUGAGCGGCCGAUGGCUGGUUAGGUAGUUGGUGGGAUAAAAGGUUACCAAGGCGACGCUCUGUAGCUGGUCUGAGAGGAUGAUCAGCCACACUGGGACUGAGACACGGCCCAGACUCCUACGGGAGGCAGCAGUGGGGAAUAUUGGACAAUGGGCGAAAGCCUGAUCCAGCCAUGCCGCGUGUAGGAUGAAGGUCUUCGGAUUGUAAAGUGCUUUAGGACGGAAGGAAGAGCAGCUAGUUAAUAACGUGCUGUUAUGACGGUACCGUAAGAAUAAGCACCGGCUAACUUCGUG